GAUGAACGCUGGCGGCGUGCCUAAUACAUGCAAGUCGAGCGAACAGAUGAGGAGCUUGCUCCUCUGACGUUAGCGGCGGACGGGUGAGUAACACGUGGAUAACCUACCUAUAAGACUGGGAUAACUUCGGGAAACCGGAGCUAAUACCGGAUAAUAUAUUAAACCGCAUGGUUCAAUAGUGAAAGACGGUUUUGCUGUCACUUAUAGAUGGAUCCGCGCCGCAUUAGCUAGUUGGUAAGGUAACGGCUUACCAAGGCGACGAUGCGUAGCCGACCUGAGAGGGUGAUCGGCCACACUGGAACUGAGACACGGUCCAGACUCCUACGGGAGGCAGCAGUAGGGAAUCUUCCGCAAUGGGCGAAAGCCUGACGGAGCAACGCCGCGUGAGUGAUGAAGGUCUUCGGAUCGUAAAACUCUGUUAUUAGGGAAGAACAAAUGUGUAAGUAACUAUGCACGUCUUGACGGUACCUAAUCAGAAAGCCACGGCUAACUACGUG
rnacentral:rRNA from 1 species